UACGUAGGGUGCGAGCGUUAAUCGGAAUUACUGGGCGUAAAGUGUGCGCAGGCGGCUUCGCAAGUCGAGUGUGAAAUCCCCGAGCUUAACUUGGGAAUUGCGCUCGAAACUACGGAGCUGGAGCGUGGCAGAGGAAGGUGGAAUUCCACGUGUAGCGGUGAAAUGCGUAGAGAUGUGGAGGAACACCGAUGGCGAAGGCAGCCUUCUGGGCCAACACUGACGCUCAUGCACGAAGGCGUGAGGAGCAAACAGG
rnacentral:rRNA from 1 species